rnacentral:lncRNA from 1 species
GGCAGAAUGUAAGCAGUUCUCAAAGAAAGUUUGACAUAGUAUGCAAAUGUACUUAGUUACUCACUGCAUUUUCUCUAACUUCACACUUUUCAGUUAGUCAGCUGUUUGUAUUAAGUGGCGCAGGUAAGGAUAACACCUACAAUACUUAAACAAACACAUAUGUCUGCAGACUACAAUCUACUUUUUCCUUGAGCUGAUUUACUGCAAAUUUACAAUAGCAGAGCUAAAAUCAACUGCCUGGUUUGUUCUCUACCCUAGGGCAAGGAAACUACAUGGGUGUGGUCCCAGCUAAGCCCAGCCACAUCUCUGCAGGGUUCUGACUGCUCUGGGAGGAGGAAAGCAUGAAACAGGAACAACAGUUCUGUGUCCUUUGCAUGAGUAACAGAUGUUUUGAAAGAGCUGCAAGAGACCAAGGGAACCCUUAUCUAAUCUGCAUAUGAUGUUCGCAAAGGGCCUGCUGGAAGAUCCAAGUCCAGUCUGCACUCAUGAAGCACCUGCUCUGCAGAUUGCAGCAGUGACAGGAGUACGCUUUCCUGUACCUUAAAUUCUCAAACUUUGCCAUUUCCAAGUCGGGCCACUUACCAACAACUGAAAGGUAUGCAUUAAAAUAUUCUCAUCUGAGGCAUGAGGACCCAAAGAUAGUUGCUGCUGCUUUCUCUUCUCCUUUUUCAGUCCUUCUGAAAUAAUAAAGGUAGCACAUUGAGCUUAUAGGCUAAGUUAAUGACGUGUAGGAGAGAAUACACCUCUUACAGUC